rnacentral:rRNA from 1 species
CUCCCGAUGUAAUUCUGGUCCUUGGAGGGGGCGGAGGAGGCGCUGGGGAAGAUGUGCUGCGUUGACCGCCUCGACAGCAGGACGCGCGAGCGCGACCACACCAAGCUCUUUGCCUGCUGGGUUUGGGUGUGGGAUGUGGCGCACAUCCCAACAACCCACACCCUGUGGGUGAUGAAGCGCGGCGCUGGCCGCAUCAAGGAGCUGCUGGGCUACUCCCCCCCCCUCCCUGAGCGCAAGGUGGCGCCGCCGCCCGGCACGCGGCGGUACGACCUCCUCAUCCAUGUCGACAGGGUGGAGGACUGG